rnacentral:rRNA from 1 species
UUGGAGGGCAAGUCUGGUGCCAGCAGCCGCGGUAAUUCCAGCUCCAAUAGCGUAUAUUAAAGUUGUUGCAGUUAAAAAGCUCGUAGUUGAAUUUCGGGAUCAGACUGUCGGUCGUGCCUCGGUACGCACUGGCAUUAUUGGUUCCUACCUUCUGAAGAACCGCGAUGUCAUUAAUUUGGUGUCGUGGGGAAUCAGGACUGUUACUUUGAAAAAAUUAGAGUGUUUAAAGCAGGCGCACGCUUGAAUACAUUAGCAUGGAAUAAUGAAAUAGGACGUUUGAUUCUAUUUUGUUGGUUUCUAGGAUCGACGUAAUGAUUAAUAGGGAUAGUUGGGGGCAUUAGUAUUCAAUUGUCAGAGGUGAGAUUCUUGGAUUUAUUGAAGACUAACUACUGCGAAAGCAUUUGCCAAGGAUGUUUUCAUUAAUCAAGAACGAAAGUUAGGGGAUCGAAGACGAUCAGAUACCGUCGUAGUCUUAACCAUAAACUAUGCCGACUAGGGAUCGGAUGAUGUUAAUUUUAUAAUGACUCAUUCGGCGCCUCACGGGAAACCAAAGUGUUUGGGUUC